UACAUCAUUGGCAUUACAUUUUAGGGUUUAGGGUUUGGGGUUUCGGGUUUAGGGUUUAGAGUUUUAGGGUUUGGGGUUUAGGGUUUUUUAGGGUUUAGGGUUUUAGGGUUUAGGGUUUGGGGUUUAGGGUUUUAGGGUUUAGGUUUUAGGGCUUAGGGCUUAGGGCUUUAGGGCUUAGGGGUUUAGGGUUUAGGGUUUAGGGUUUAGGGUUUAGGGUUUANAUGCAAUUGAUGUGAUGCAUAUUUUAUAUGAAAUUAUCUGUUACCAAAAUAAUAUGUGUGAUACUUAUUAGAAAAGACAUAAUAUUUUUGUUUCCUUUUUUUUUUUUUUUUAGAGUGAGAACGGUAGCAAAUAACCUCUCUUCGCUCAAUUUUAUUUUUUUUACUUUAGAAAUAAAAACAAUUAGAAAUGUAAAGCAAUAAAGUUUUGACCUUAAAAUCUCUGAGUAUUCAAUAAUAAAAAAAAAUCCUUAGCCAGAAAUGCUAGGGUUUAGAGUUUAGGUUUUAGGGUUAGGGUUUUGAAUUUUUAGGGUUUAGAAUUUAGAAUUUGGGCCCGGAAGUGGUCGGCGAAUCGGAGCUAGACUUGAUCUCGUCCAUUAAUAAAAAGUGUACUUAGUAAAACGUGCUGGACCAUUUAGUUAACACCGGUUCUCCUUCCAUCUCACAAUCACCCCCCCCUGACAAUUUUUUAAAUAGACCAUUUAUUAUUAUUAUUUUUUUUCAGUGAGACCUCUGUACUUUUUUUUUUUAAAGGAAUCAAUGUUGAGGGAGUGUAAUACACUAUUAAAUACAAAGGAUACUAUACAACGUACUAUGAUAUACAAAGUACAUUGAAAAUGGCCCCCCGGAACGGCCCACACAUAGAGGGACCUGGGCAUUAAAAGUAUAUAUUUGGGCUUAAUAGGCCGAAUUUUAUUAAUGGAUCAGGUGACGCCCAGUACUGGUUAGCCUUUUUUCUGCUCUAGGUUAAAUUGCGGUCUCGUUAAUAGCCCACAAAUGGAAAGCUUCACUUGUGGAGCAUAAUAUUAUGCUGUAAGUUGCCUUCUUUUUUCUUUUUCUUUUUUUUGGUGAUAAGUUAUUCUUUGGUUAAGGGCCUUUUUCUUUUGAGCAAUGAAAAAUAGAUAAAUUUGGAGAAAUCACACAAAAUUAUUCCUUUUUAUUUGUCGUAAUCAAAAAUAAAAUAUAUGAAGAACACCCGCUGUUUGUUUUUUAAAAAUUUAUCUUCUUUUUCUUUUUAUCGACAUGUGUAUAUGGUUUAGGGUUUUUAGGGUUUUAGGGGUUUAGUUAUUCUGACUAGUUUUGUUAUUCUAUUUUUAACGAUUUUGAAUUGAUUUUUUUUUUAUUUUUUGUUUCAAUUUCAUCGUCAUGAUUUAAGGUUGCUGUUGUUCAUGUUUUGUUGUCCACAAUUGCUGCUUCCUUUUAAUUCAUAUGUGUGCAGAGAUCAUCAUGUUUGAAAAAAUUUUAUUCUUUUGAUUAAACUUUCCAUUCUUGCAAAUUUUUUUUGGUAACAUUUUGUAGAGCAAAACCAAAUAUUCGAGGUAUCCUUCCUUUAUAAGAUAAAAUUUUCUUUGUGUUUUUAACUCAAUUUUGUUUUCUUUUAUUAUUUAGUUAUUUUCUUUAACUCUUUAGCCUGGCUAGUUUUGUACUCUCUUAUAUGUUCUUUUUUUUUUCCGCCAAUGUUUCUUGUAUUAUUGUGUUUAAAUGCUAAACUCAAUGAUAACAUAUUUGUAUUUCAAUGUUCUAAUUUUUUAAAUGUUUCUCUGUAUGAUUGUAUGUUUUGUACUCUCUUUUCUCAAUACUUUGUUUAUGAAACCUUUAUAUGGGCCCAAACAACAUGAAAAUUUAAAUACGAUGCUGGCUCAAAAUCAGAUAACAGUCAUAUGGGCCUUUCUGAGCUCCAAAUAAGCCCAGUCCAUAUUUAACCCAAAUCUAAGCCCAGUCCAUACAGGCUCACGUAAGUUACAUAUGGGGCCGAGGAAGAACCCCAAGACUAAGCCCGAGUCACACCCAAUUAUGUGGACUUUACACAAUCCUAGAUCAUGCUUGGGGCCUUUAAAGGCCUUUCGGGCUUUGCGGACUUUAGGGCCUUCACGGGCUUACUUUUAUGAGUUUUAUUUGGUGUAAGGCCUUGGGGCUUGGGGGCCCUUUGAAAGGCCUUUCAGGCUUUGGGCUUUUAGGACUUUAGGGGCUUUAGAUUUCGGGCUUCAGGGUAUGGGCCGCGACUGUGUGUGAAAAGCCCGGCCUUCUUUCCUUAUUUGGUAAAGUCUGUUUUUGAUGUGUUUCGUUUUUUACCAAAAAGGGAAAGUUUGGGUUUUGGACCAUGCGUAAUCCGUUAUUACUCUUUUACCCCAUAUACACCCAUCAUAUGCUGGUCCCACACGUCGGUUUAACAGAAAUUUUUAUUUUUAUUUUUUUAUUUAAUUUUUGGUUUUGCAAAAAUAAAAAUGUGUAGUUGGUAAUAUAAGCAAAAAUGAACACAGCACAAAAUAUUGAUUUUUUAUGUAAUAGUAUAUAAACAAAUUUUUUUUCCUUUUUUUUACACAUCCCGGUUAAUGUUAAUUAUAUUUUCUGAUUAAUGCAAUUGACGUGAUGCAUAUUCUAUAUAAAAUUAUCUGUUAUCAAAAUAAUAUGUGUGAUACUUAUUAGAAAAGACAUAAUGUUUUUCUUUUUUUCCAUUUUUUCUAUUUUUUUGUUUUUUUUUUUUUGAGAGAGAUAGAACGAUAGUAAAUAAUCCCGCUACGUUCAUUUUUUUUAACUUUAGAAAUAAAAACAAUUAGAAAUUUAAAGCAAUAAAGUUUUGACCUUAAAAUCUCUUGAGUACCGAAUAAUAAAAGAAAAGUCCUUAGCCAGGAAUGCCAGGGUUCAGUGUUUAGGUUUUAGGGUUUUAGGGUUUUUAGGGUUUAGAGUUUUGUUUAGGGUUUAUGAUUUAGAGUUUAAUGGCAUAAUAUGGAAAUCUAAAAGUUUGAGCCAAUAUUUAAUUCACUGAUUUGCUGCUAAAUAGCACAUGCUCAAGUUUUAUUUUUAUAAUUGUCAGACAUUUAACUUUCAAAUUUGUUUUCAUUUAAGUAACUUCAGUAAAUUAAGUUGAGAGUUUUAUUAAAUUUAUUGAUAAUUUUAUCAAAUUUAAUAAUUAUAAUUAUUUUUUAGCAAAUUGAGAUUUUCUAAAGUUGGUAAACUGUGUAAAAAAUUAUGAAGAAAAUAGUCAAAUUCUCUCUUUCUCUCUCUCUAAUUAUGGCGAAAUUAUGAAGUUGAAAGAAGCUUUAUUUGCAGAUUGAAGAACUUCAAUUUUUAUAUUGGGGUUAUUUAUUAAUUUGGUGUGAGCAUGAGGACACUAAUGGACAGUAUUGAUUACGUUUUUUGAGAUGGAUUUUUUAGUAUAAUUUUUGAAUUUCUAUAGUGAAAAUAUGUAAAGUUUGCAUUAAUUUUUAUCACUAAUACUCGUUAGAUUUUCCUCCAUUGCAUUUUCUGUGUUUAUUUAACUUUCUUUCUCCUUAUUCUCUCAUUUUACUGAUCAUCGCUAAGCCACUCUUCUUUCUUUCUUUUUUUCCAUCUAUUUCUUUGUCUGUUCUACAAAAUGCUACAGAACUUGCUCUAUUCUGCGUUUUUCUUCCUUAAUUUUGAUAUAUAUUUGGGAACCACAAUUUGAACAUUUAUUGGGGGCAAAGCUAAUCAAACUGUAGAUAAAUGUCCAAGACGAAUCUAAAUUGAAUUAUACGGACAUUAUCUGACCCAAUUCCAGCCCAAUGGGAAAAAGAACCCAAAUAUGAGGUUAAGCAUUUAGGCUUCCCCAAAGUUAUAAAUGGGCCUGGGUGUAAGCAAGUCUAAAACCAAUUACAACUAAUGUUAUGGGCUUUGCGAUUCAGGUUUAGGGCCUUAAGGAGCAUACUUUUCUGAAUUUCAUUUUGUGUAGAGCCUUCGGGCUUGGGCGCUUGGGGCCUUUUAAAGGCCAUUCGGGCUUUCGGCUUUUAGGACCUUUAGGGGCUUUAUGGAUUUUAGGCUUCCGGGUACAGGCAUCGGGCUUCGGGCCUUGGGGCAAUUUAAAGACCAGUGUCGGACCUUAGGGGGCUUUCGGGGCUAAAGGAUUUCGGCCUUGGGGCUGUAUGGUUUUAGGGUUUAGGGCUUUAAACUUCGGGCUUUAGACAUUGGGCUUGAGGUUUCGGGUUUAGUUGCCCACUCAAAGCAAAUCUUUGUAAUAUCUCUAACCAUUUCAUGUACAAAACGGAAUUGAUCAUGUGACAUGCACCCCACCACCUCAAGAUCAACUUAGAUUCGCCAUGCAAUAAAUAUAUAAAAAGACUACGCCACGUAUCAUUAAUAUAUUCAUUCAUUCAUGUUAAAAAAUUGCACCAAGCUUUUUCUUUCUCCCCAUGGCCAUGAGAAAGGAAUCAAGCUCCCCAAAGCAAAAGCAAAGCUUGAAGAUAAAGAGCAAAGAGAGAGAUAUAAAAACGCCAAAAAUAUUAUAAAAAAAGCAUCUUUAACAUCAAAGCUCUCUUUACCUUUCAUCAUAGCAAACCCCCCCUAAAGCAAUUAAAUACUCAGAUGCUUCUCCUCUUUUGCUUAGUUCACUCUUUCACCUACACAACUCAAAUUAAACUAAGCUAUGGCUCGGAUAGAAGCUGUGAUCAUUUGCCUAUUGAUUGUGAUCAUGGAGUUUACUAAGAACUUAAUGGUGUUGUGAUUGAAAUAUAUAUAUUUGUAGGGGAGGCACUUAAGGGUGUUCUUCAUUGAGUGCACUUUAUAGGGGAAAUUACUUACUAAGCCCAAGUCACACCCAAUUAUGUGGACUUUACACAGUCCUAGCUCAUGCUUGGGGCCUUUUAAAGGCCUUUCGGGCUUUGCAGACUUUAGGGCCUUCAGGGGCUUACUUUUGUGAGUUUUAUUUGGUGUAAGGCCUUGGGCUUGGGGCCUUGGGGCCUUUUAAAGGACUUUCAGGCUUCGGGCUUUUAGGACAUUCAGGGGCUUUACGAUUUCGGGCUUCAGGGUAUGGGCCGCGACAGUGUG
rnacentral:lncRNA from 1 species